rnacentral:rRNA from 1 species
GGUCAAGUGAAGAAGCGCAUACGGUGGAUGCCUUGGCAGUCAGAGGCGAUGAAAGACGUGGUAGCCUGCGAAAAGCUUCGGGGAGUCGGCAAACAGACUUUGAUCCGGAGAUCUCUGAAUGGGGGAACCCACCUAGGAUAACCUAGGUAUCUUGUACUGAAUCCAUAGGUGCAAGAGGCGAACCAGGGGAACUGAAACAUCUAAGUACCCUGAGGAAAAGAAAUCAACCGAGAUUCCCUUAGUAGUGGCGAGCGAACGGGGAUUAGCCCUUAAGCUUCAUUGAUUUUAGCGGAACGCUCUGGAAAGUGCGGCCAUAGUGGGUGAUAGCCCCGUACGCGAAAGGAUCUUUGAAGUGAAAUCGAGUAGGACGGAGCACGAGAAACUUUGUCUGAACAUGGGGGGACCAUCCUCCAAGGCUAAAUACUACUGACUGACCGAUAGUGAACCAGUACCGUGAGGGAAAGGCGAAAAGAACCCCGGAGAGGGGAGUGAAAUAGAACCUGAAACCGUAUGCGUACAAGCAGUGGGAGCCUACUUGUUAGGUGACUGCGUACCUUUUGUAUAAUGGGUCAGCGACUUAUAUUCAGUGGCAAGCUUAACCGUAUAGGGUAGGCGUAGCGAAAGCGAGUCUUAAUAGGGCGUUUAGUCGCUGGGUAUAGACCCGAAACCGGGCGAUCUAUCCAUGAGCAGGUUGAAGGUUAGGUAACACUGACUGGAGGACCGAACCCACUCCCGUUGAAAAGGUAGGGGAUGACUUGUGGAUCGGAGUGAAAGGCUAAUCAAGCUCGGAGAUAGCUGGUUCUCCUCGAAAGCUAUUUAGGUAGCGCCUCAUGUAUCACUCUGGGGGGUAGAGCACU